rnacentral:rRNA from 1 species
GAUGAACGCUGGCGGCGUGCCUAAUACAUGCAAGUCGAACGAAGUCUUCGGACUUAGUGGCGAACGGGUGAGUAACACGUUGGUACCUACCCCGAAGUGGGGAAUAACUGCCCGAAAGGGUGGCUAAUACCGCAUAAUACCACAAGGUUAAAGCAGUAAUGCGCUUCGGGAGGGGCCUGCGUCCCAUUAGCUAGUUGGUAGGGUAAUGGCCUACCAAGGCGACGAUGGGUAGCUGGAUCGAGAGGUAGACCAGCCACACUGGGACUGAGAUACGGCCCAGACUCCUACGGGAGGCAGCAGUAAGGAAUCUUCCACAAUGGACGAAAGUCUGAUGGAGCAACGCCGCGUGCAGGAUGACGGCCUUCGGGUUGUAAACUGCUUUUAUACGGGAAGAUUAUGACGGUACCGUAUGAAUAAGGACCGGCUAACUACGUGCCAGCCGCCGCCGUAA